AAAGCACAGAGAGGGUUCUGUGUUUUUUGUGGACACAGGUAUAUCUGCAUGUGUAUACUCAGCCUGGAAAAGACAUAAAGGGCUUCUAAUAGAUGAAUAUAGGGAAGGCAGAUGGCCUCUGUCCUAGAAACUUAAUCAGCAAGCCACAGAGGCUGUUUUCGGAACUCCCUGUGGGGUUUGGCUCAGCUAAGCGAACUCGGGAGCCAAGUUUGGCAGUAGAGGAUGAAGAGAACUAAAUUGCUCCACCUAAGAAAUGAGAGGAAUUUGGAUUUUAUCCCUAAGAGAGACAUGGAGGAGACGGGGAAAGGCUUUCUGAAUAAUAUGGACCAAAGCUCCAUCCAUCAAUCCUGCUGUGCCCCAUGAAGACUUUAACCCUUAGAAUAAGAAUUGCCUGCCCCAUUUCUACAAAAUGAGUGUGUUCUUUGAGCAGAAGAGGAGAGAAGAGAAGAAAUGGAACAAUCUUUGCUUUGGAAAUUUAGCUGACUGGCCUCAUUUGGAAUAAGAGCGCCUUCAAUCCCUGGCCGCAGGCGGGCAGUGGAGCCAACAGUAACACCGGAUGCUGGGAUGCUGGGAGGAGGUCUGGAAGCAUCAGAGGAGAUGCCAGGGAACUUGGAGUCCAGAAGGCGGUAGUGGGUUCCUCUCUGGGGAUGAGUCCCAGUUUCCUCAACUUUGUCCAGACCCCUUGUCCUCAGGCUAAAACCUACUAUUUAUUGGAUAGAGCAUUAUCCUGGAAGCACUAAGAGAUUGGAGGAGAAGGUCCUGAGAAGAGCCAGAGGCCGGGUCUGCUUUGUGUCCUCGGCACCUACUUUCAGUCCAUGACACAUGAAAAGAGCUGGAGUCAGAAGGACCAGGUAACCCUCCUACCAAGGGCCUGGCCUUGCCUUUCUGGUUAGUUUUAGCUCAGACUGAAGCUGACAGUUGUAGCCAAUGGUACAGAUUUGCAAAACAAGGCUUCCUGCAGGAGUAGCACAGUGCAAAGCUUAAAGCCAGGUGAGGGUAUGGAGGGCAGAGCCUUAAAGGUAUACACAGGAGUCACACAUGGGAAUGAUUUGGCCAGGACUGUAGACCAUGGGUAUCAAAGUGUCUUGGAAGGUUGCUGAGAUACUAUGUGAUACACUAUAUGUAUACAUGUACACGAUAUCAGCAAUAACCAUAACGACUUUAAGGCUUCUAGAGAUGGGUUAAUGGUUCCUUUAAAUAGGCUGUAUUGCAAUAGAUUCUGGAGGAGAGGAAGCCAAAGGACUCAUUUUUAUUCUGGUCACAUUGUCCAACAGACAAUGUUUCUUAAUCAAUAUUGAUUCUCUACUUACUUAGUUAAAACACACACACACUUUGUUAUCUAAAUAAGACAUGUUUAUGAGACUCUCUUGCAGCUAGUAGCUAUGUGAUACCACUCUAAGCAAUGAGGCAUCUGCAGAAGCAGCAGAACGGAAAGCCUGGACCUCUUGAUAUAGAUCUGUCCGUGUUUUAUUAUUUUUAAAAAAUAAUAUCCACUUUUCUUUUUCCUGCCAAAGGCACAAAAGAUGAUGAAACAUAAGCGCUGAAGCUGUCACCAUAGACAGUCUGAUGUCCUGCCAAGUAGGGUAAAAAAUAGAAGCCAGGGUAGCAUGGAUUCUGUCACCACCUAAGUACAGUCCCUUCCGAGCCUGUGGUUUUCACUAAGAUGGAGCUUAAGAAAACAGAGUGAAUCACAAACCAUGGCACCACACAUGAAUCAGAUGGUGGAUCAUUGCUUCAGUCCUAGCUUCUCUGGGGCCUGAUGCCUGGGAGGUAGAUGUCCCUCCAUCUGAGUCUCUCCACAUCUGAAGAUAGGCUAUACGGCAGACUGUAAAGAGGCAGGACUCAGGCACAUGGGCGUGGUCUCUGGCUAGACUGAGGGAAGAAGAGUCAUGACGUUCAUUGCUACUCCCCAUUCCCACUCCUGGUCCACUGAGGCAUGCCUUUGCUCUCCACCUCUAUCCAGGACUUACUCCUGUGUUCAUUUUUGCUGGGGUUAGAGGAAGGAGAAGGAAGAGUUGCUAUGGCCAGACUCUUUGGUGGUACUUAAACUGAUUUUGAGCCCACUCAAGUGCCAGUUCCACACCCUUACACACACACACACACACACACACAAGCACACAUAGACAAACAAGCACACCUACACACACACACAUACACACACACACACACACACACACACACCACUCACUUCUACACUGACUGCUGCUCACCUCUAGUCAUUUGCCAAAUUUUAUUCUUUCAUAAAAAAAUUGUUUAUGUCUCCUUUUUACAUGUGACCCACUGAGUUUAAUUAGUUUGUCUGUCUGUUUGUUUGUUUGUUUGUUUGUUUUUUGGCCUGGGCGUGGGUAGAAGGUUAUUUACUGGAACAAGGGCAACUUAUCAGUGGCUACACUACUGAAGAAAAUGACACCUUUCUCCAACACCCUUUAACUGCCAAUAAUCCCGCAGGGAAGGAUGGAGCCUUUGGGGCCCCUCCCCCAUCUUAAUCAUGCACAGGUCUACAUCACGUCCAGGAAACAUCUUUGCUGCUCAUCCUCUGGCUCUUAUGUUCUUUUCUUCUCCUCUUCCUUGAUGUUUCUUGAGCUUUGAAAGAUAGUGUACUGGCUAGUUUAGUGUCAACUUGACACAGCUGGAGUUAUCACAGAGAAAGGAGCUUCAGUUGAGGAAAUGCCUCCACGAGAUCCAACUGUAAGGCAUUUUCUCAAUUAGUGAUCAAGGGGGAAAGGCCCCUUGUGGGUGGGACCAUCUCUGGGCUGGUAGUCUUGGUUCUAUAAGAGAACAGGCUGAGCAAGCCAGGGGAAGCCAGCCAGUGAGGAACAUCCCUCCAUGGCCUCUGCAUCAGCUCCUGUUUUCUGACCUGCUUGAGUUCCAGUCCUGACUUCCUUGGUGAUGAACAGCAGUAUGGAAGUGUAAGCUGAAUAAACCUUUUCCUCCCCAACUUGCUUCUUGGUCAUGAUGUUUGUGCAGGAAUAAAAACCCUGACUAAGACAAAUUGGUACCAGCAUAGUGGGGUAUUCCUGUGACAACCUGACCAUGUUUUGAGGAGGACUGUGGAAGGACUUUGGAACUUUGGACUUGAAGAUCCAUUCGUUGUUAAGAGCUCUGUCAGAUGUUGUAUAGGAGCUUGGAAGAUAAUGUUGAGAACAGUGCAGAAGAUGGAGGUCUGGCUGGUGAAAUUUCAGAGGGAAAAUUAAAGACUCUUUUCAGGGCCAUUGCUAUUUUGAUUGGGAAGAUUCUGUGGUUCUGGUUAGCUGGGGCUGAAGAAUAGCUGUGAUUAACAAGAUACCAGAACUACUAAAGUGAAAUUUUUGCAUUACUGGGACUAUUGGUGCUGGUUAGCUGGAGCUAAGAAAUUAGCGGUGAUUAAGAAGAGACCAGCAUCACUGAGGUGACAUCUUCUGGGAAGUGUUUUCUGAGAGCACAGAGGCUGUGUUCCAGAGAUAACCAAGGUUGUACCUUGUGCUGUGGCUGGACUUGGUAAUGUGUAAGAGUCACCCAGGUGGUACUGGUUUUGAAGGCAUGAAGGAGUCAUGCAGAGCAUGCAGUCACAGAGGCUCAGCACUGUGAGAGGCCAUAGAAGGCCAUUGAUGAAGGUGCAGCCUCAGUUGCAAUUGAUGGCCCAGGACUGAAGGGGUCAUGCAGUGUUUUGGAGAUGCCAGUACCAUGAGAUGACCACCAAGAGCAGCAGUAGCAGUGGAGUACAGGCAUCUGAAGCCUAGAGGAAAUGCUGUGUGCUACAAUGGACAGGGCUGGAGAAGUGACCCAAGCCCUUGGAGGAGCCCAGAAGAUCGUAAGUUGGAUCCCAGACAUUGGACAGUUGGAGUUUAAUUUUUGCUUUUGAUUGUGACUGUGCCCUGAUAUUUUUUACCUCUUGAAGGAAGAAAGUAUUUUAGUGGAGCCCACAGUUAAGAGACUUAGAAUUUUAAAAGACUUUAGAUCUUAAAAGAGAUGGAUAUUUUAAAGAGAUUGAAAUUUUAAGAAUAUGUAAAUACUGUGGGACGUUUAAAAUUAUUUAGAUCUUGGGAAUGAAUAAGAAUGUAAGGGUUGAGGCUUACUAGUGAUGUGUUUGUGUGUAAGUUGACAAGGGGUCAAUUGUACUGGCUAGUUUUGUGUCAACUUGACACAGCUGGAGUUAUCACAGAGAAAGGAGCUUCAGUUGAGGAAAUGCCUCCAUGAGAUCCAACUGAAAGGCAUUUUCUCAAUUAGUGAUCAAGGGGGAAAGGCCCCUUGUGGGUGGGACCAUCUCUGGGCUGGUAGUCUUGGUUCUAUAAGAGAGCAGGCUGAGCAAGCCAGAGGAAGCAAGCCAGUAAAGAACAUCCCUCCAUGGCCUCUGCAUCAGCUCCUGCUCCUGACCUGCUUGAGUUUCAGUCCUGACUUCCUUGGUGAUGAAGAGCAGUAUGGAAGUGUAAGCUGAAUAAACCCUUUCCUCCCCAACUUGCUUCUUGGUCAUGAUGUUUGUGCAGGAAUAGAAACCCUGGCUAAGACAGCUAGCACCCCAGUCAUCAUUUAUACUCAGUGAUUUCAACAGCUAUGACCUGUAUUAAUUGCUCUCCGACACAGUGAGAAGCUUCUUCGAUGAGAUCUGCAGAGUAGUAACCUAUUAGCAAAAAUAUGGGUACUUAGAAGGCAGCUCAACAACUUAACCACUUAGCAAAACAAUAUUAGUAGGUACCUGCUAGGGCACAUGACUUUCCCAGUCACAGGUUCUUAACCAGAACAAAACAUGAGUUCUUUCCUGUGGAACAGACAUCAAAUCCAAUCGGAAAGUGGUUGGUGACCCCUUUAAUAGCCAUGCCACU
rnacentral:lncRNA from 1 species